rnacentral:rRNA from 1 species
GUAAUUGUUAUGUUCCUAAAACCCAAAGGAUUUGGCGGUAUUUUAUUCUGUUCAGAGGAACCUGUUCUUUAAUUGAUAGUCCACGAUUUUAUUUACUUAUUUUUGUAUUCAGUUUUUAUACCUCCGUCAUAAGAAUAUUUUUUUAGAAUUAAUUUUCUUAAUUAUUUAAGAUAUAUAUGUCAGGUCAAGGUGAAGCUUAUAUAUAAGUAGAAAUGGGUUACAAUAAUUUUAUUUAUAUGAAUUGUUAUUUUUAUGAUUAAUUUGAAGGUGGAUUUGAAAGUAAAUUAAUUAAUUAAAUUUUUUGAUUUUAGCUCUAAAAUAUGUACACAUCGCC